rnacentral:rRNA from 1 species
GAUCAUGGCUCAGGAUGAACGCUAGCUACAGGCUUAACACAUGCAAGUCGAGGGGGCAGCAUGGUCUUAGCUUGCUAAGGCCGAUGGCGACCGGCGCACGGGUGAGUAACGCGUAUCCAACCUGCCUUACACUCUUGGACAGCCUUCUGAAGGGAGAUUAAUACAAGAUGUUAUCAUGAGUAAGCAUUUUCGCAUGAUUAAAGGUUUACCGGUGUAAGAUGGGGAUGUCG